rnacentral:sRNA from 1 species
UGGAACGCAAGGUCAACGUCAACAAGUGAGCUCAAGGUCAGCCUGGGUUCCUUGAGGCCUUACACACACAGGGGUGCCGGAGAGAUGGGAGCAGGCGCAAGGCUCUCACCAAAGGGAAGGUCAAGGAGGCCGCAGGGAUAUGAGCAGGACAUAUUUUUAUUUGUGUUUGUGCCCACGUUCCUGUACCUGUGCAGAGGCACACUGGUGCCACAGAACGCAUGAAGGGAUCGGAAGGAAGUCUCAUGUGUCCGUUCCCUCCUUCCAUUUUUAGACAGGCCGAGUCUCCUCCCCAAUGUAGACAUCAAGCUAGCUGGCCCCUGAACUUGUGGGGAUUCUCCUGCCUUCAUCGCCCAAUAGGAGUGCUGGGAUUGCAGAUGUGUGUUAUAGCUUCCGGGUUCACGUGAGCUCCACAGAACUGAACUCCGGUCCUCACAUUUACGUGGUCACUUCACACCCCCGGAACACCACUGUGUGUCACACUGUCCUGUCAGGACCCACGAGAAGGCUCAGCGGUUAAGGAAAGUUGCCGCUUCUUCAGAGGACCCAGGUUCCAUCCAUCCUCAGCACCCACGUGGCAGCUCACAAUUGUCCAUCACUGGAGUUCCAGAAGUUCUUGUGACCUCUACGGACAGCAAGCUACUACAAUAUGUACAUAUAUGUACCACGAACACUCAUAUACACAGAAGCAAAAUGUCAUUAAAAUAAAUAAAAUGUAUCCGUUUAUUAAUUUAA